CAACAUGAGCUCACGGGUGUUCCAAUAUCCUUUGCAUUCUCCACCCCAAACUUCUUGAGUAUUUCUCAAUACCUUCCUUAAUUUGUUUGCUUGACUUGAAGUAUAAGAAAGAAAUUGAGCUCUCCUAUCAUGCUCAUUUUGAAUUAACCCUGCAUUAGCUCAGCAAACUCUUGACAAAGAUUUUCAUUAGCCAUUUUUACGUUUGCA
rnacentral:lncRNA from 1 species